rnacentral:rRNA from 1 species
GAGGGUGACCGGCCACACUGGAACUGAGACACGGUCCAGACUCCUACGGGAGGCAGCAGUGAGGAAUAUUGCGCAAUGGGCGAAAGCCUGACGCAGCGACGCCGCGUGGAGGAUGAAGGCCUUCGGGUCGUAAACUCCUGUCGAGGGGGACGAAAUGGGGCUCUGUUAAUAGCAGGGCGUCUUGACGGUACCCUUGGAGGAAGCCCCGGCUAACUCCGUGCCAGCAGCCGCGGUAAUACGGAGGGGGCCAGCGUUGCUCGGAAUCACUGGGCGUAAAGGGCUCGUAGGCGGUUUGAUAAGUCCUGUGUGAAAUCCCUUGGCUUAACCAAGGAACUGCGCCGGAUACUGUCGAACUAGAGGCCGGGAGAGGGAAGCGGAAUUCCGAGUGUAGCGGUGAAAUGCGUAGAUAUUCGGAGGAACACCGGUGGCGAAGGCGGCUUCCUGGACCGGUUCUGACGCUGAGGAGCGAAAGCUAGGGUAGCAAACAGGAUUAGAUACCCUGGUAGUCCUAGCUGUAAACGAUGGGCGCUUGGUGUUGCGGGUAUCGACCCCUGCAGUGCCGAAGCUAACGCAUUAAGCGCCCCGCCUGGGGAGUACGGUCGCAGGGCUGAAACUCAAAUGAAUUGACGG